rnacentral:miRNA from 1 species
GUUUAUGACGUGGAUAUUCGACGUCAUCAACAAGAUCAACUUUGGUGUUUAUGACGUCGUUAUUCGACGUGAUAAACACGGUCAACUUUCGUGUUUAUGACGUCGAUAUACGACGUCAUAAACACGAUGAACUUUGGUGUUUAUAUCGUAGAUAUUCGACGUCAUAAACACCAUCAACUUUGAUGCUUAUGACGUCGAUAUUCGACGUCAUAAAC